rnacentral:rRNA from 1 species
AGUGAACGCUGGCGGUAUGCCUAAUACAUGCAAGUCGAACGACCGCACAAUAAGCUCUUUCUUCUACGGGUGGCGACUGACGGACGGGUGAGGCAUACAUCGGCUUCUUCUUUUUCGUGGGUGAUUACGUAGGACAACUUCCGCUAAUACCGCAUACGACCUACGGGUUAAUUCAAGGGUUCUUCGCACCUUUCCCGUCUCAUUUAGCUGAUGCCGGAUUAGCUAGUUGGCUGGGUAAAGGCCCACCAAGGCGACGAUCCGUAGCUGAUCUGAGAGGAUGAUCAGCCACACUGGAACUGAGACACGGUCCAGACUCCUACGGGAGGCAGCAGUGGGGAAUAUUGGACAAUGGGCGAAAGCCUGAUCCAGCCAUACCGCGUGAGUGAAGAAGGCCUUCGGAUUGUAAAGCCCUGUUGUUAGGAAAGAAAAACAGCAGAAGAAUACCCCGCUGUUCUGACGGUACCCAAAGAGUAAGCACCGGCUAACUUCGUG